GACGAGUAGAUGCCAGAGACGGAGGACGCCAUCGGUGGCGGCGGCGGCGGCUCGGAGUCGGAGUUGAUGACGAGUUCGUCGGAGGGAGGCAAUUGGACGGAGGCCCAGAAGUUGCCUAGAGACCAACGCGAGCACAAACCUUACGCUCGAUCUCGGCGUUGGAAACAGUCCGAGGCGAAGUAGCGAAGGGGGUCGGGAACCAGCUGCGACUGGCGGGGCUCUUGGAGGAGGCGACGGACCGGCGAGGCUUUUUGGGGAGGCGGAGGCGGAGGGGGUGGGAUGCUCUGAGAAGGAAACAGAGGAAGUGCAGCUCGU
rnacentral:lncRNA from 1 species